rnacentral:rRNA from 1 species
CCUACGGGAUGCAGCAGUGGGGAAUAUUGCACGAUGGGCGCAAGCCUGAUGCAGCCAUGCCGCGUGUAUGAAGAAGGCCUUCGGGUUGUAAAGUACUUUCAGCGAGGAGGAAGGCAUUAAGGUUAAUAACCUUGGUGAUUGACGUUACUCGCAGAAGAAGCACCGGCUAACUCCGUGCCAGCAGCCGCGGUAAUACGGAGGGUGCAAGCGUUAAUCGGAAUUACUGGGCGUAAAGCGCACGCAGGCGGUCUGUCAAGUCGGAUGUGAAAUCCCCGGGCUCAACCUGGGAACUGCAUUCGAAACUGGCAGGCUAGAGUCUUGUAGAGGGGGGUAGAAUUCCAGGUGUAGCGGUGAAAUGCGUAGAGAUCUGGAGGAACACCAGUGGCGAAGGCGGCUUACUGGUCUGCAACUGACGCUGAGGCGCGAAAGCGUGGGGAGCAAACAGGAUUAGAUACCCGCGUAGUC